AGCGUACACGGUGGAUGCCCUGGCAGUCAGAGGCGAUGAAGGACGUGCUAAUCUGCGAUAAGCGUCGGUAAGGUGAUAUGAACCGUUAUAACCGGCGAUUUCCGAAUGGGGAAACCCAGUGUGUUUCGACACACUAUCAUUAACUGAAUCCAUAGGUUAAUGAGGCGAACCGGGGGAACUGAAACAUCUAAGUACCCCGAGGAAAAGAAAUCAACCGAGAUUCCCCCAGUAGCGGCGAGCGAACGGGGAGCAGCCCAGAGCCUGAAUCAGUGUGUGUGUUAGUGGAAGCGUCUGGAAAGGCGCGCGAUACAGGGUGACAGCCCCGUACACAAAAAUGCACAUGCUGUGAGCUCGAUGAGUAGGGCGGGACACGUGGUAUCCUGUCUGAAUAUGGGGGGACCAUCCUCCAAGGCUAAAUACUCCUGACUGACCGAUAGUGAACCAGUACCGUGAGGGAAAGGCGAAAAGAACCCCGGCGAGGGGAGUGAAAAAGAACCUGAAACCGUGUACGUACAAGCAGUGGGAGCACGCUUAGGCGUGUGACUGCGUACCUUUUGUAUAAUGGGUCAGCGACUUAUAUUCUGUAGCAAGGUUAACCGAAUAGGGGAGCCGAAGGGAAACCGAGUCUUAACUGGGCGUUAAGUUGCAGGGUAUAGACCCGAAACCCGGUGAUCUAGCCAUGGGCAGGUUGAAGGUUGGGUAACACUAACUGGAGGACCGAACCGACUAAUGUUGAAAAAUUAGCGGAUGACUUGUGGCUGGGGGUGAAAGGCCAAUCAAACCGGGAGAUAGCUGGUUCUCCCCGAAAGCUAUUUAGGUAGCGCCUCGUGAAUUCAUCUCCGGGGGUAGAGCACUGUUUCGGCAAGGGGGUCAUCCCGACUUACCAACCCGAUGCAAACUGCGAAUACCGGAGAAUGUUAUCACGGGAGACACACGGCGGGUGCUAACGUCCGUCGUGAAGAGGGAAACAACCCAGACCGCCAGCUAAGGUCCCAAAGUCAUGGUUAAGUGGGAAACGAUGUGGGAAGGCCCAGACAGCCAGGAUGUUGGCUUAGAAGCAGCCAUCAUUUAAAGAAAGCGUAAUAGCUCACUGGUCGAGUCGGCCUGCGCGGAAGAUGUAACGGGGCUAAACCAUGCACCGAAGCUGCGGCAGCGACGCUUAUGCGUUGUUGGGUAGGGGAGCGUUCUGUAAGCCUGUGAAGGUGUACUGUGAGGUAUGCUGGAGGUAUCAGAAGUGCGAAUGCUGACAUAAGUAACGAUAAAGCGGGUGAAAAGCCCGCUCGCCGGAAGACCAAGGGUUCCUGUCCAACGUUAAUCGGGGCAGGGUGAGUCGACCCCUAAGGCGAGGCCGAAAGGCGUAGUCGAUGGGAAACAGGUUAAUAUUCCUGUACUUGGUGUUACUGCGAAGGGGGGACGGAGAAGGCUAUGUUGGCCGGGCGACGGUUGUCCCGGUUUAAGCGUGUAGGCUGGUUUUCCAGGCAAAUCCGGAAAAUCAAGGCUGAGGCGUGAUGACGAGGCACUACGGUGCUGAAGCAACAAAUGCCCUGCUUCCAGGAAAAGCCUCUAAGCAUCAGGUAACAUCAAAUCGUACCCCAAACCGACACAGGUGGUCAGGUAGAGAAUACCAAGGCGCUUGAGAGAACUCGGGUGAAGGAACUAGGCAAAAUGGUGCCGUAACUUCGGGAGAAGGCACGCUGAUAUGUAGGUGAAGUCCCUUGCGGAUGGAGCUGAAAUCAGUCGAAGAUACCAGCUGGCUGCAACUGUUUAUUAAAAACACAGCACUGUGCAAACACGAAAGUGGACGUAUACGGUGUGACGCCUGCCCGGUGCCGGAAGGUUAAUUGAUGGGGUUAGCGCAAGCGAAGCUCUUGAUCGAAGCCCCGGUAAACGGCGGCCGUAACUAUAACGGUCCUAAGGUAGCGAAAUUCCUUGUCGGGUAAGUUCCGACCUGCACGAAUGGCGUAAUGAUGGCCAGGCUGUCUCCACCCGAGACUCAGUGAAAUUGAACUCGCUGUGAAGAUGCAGUGUACCCGCGGCAAGACGGAAAGACCCCGUGAACCUUUACUAUAGCUUGACACUGAACAUUGAGCCUUGAUGUGUAGGAUAGGUGGGAGGCUUUGAAGUGUGGACGCCAGUCUGCAUGGAGCCGACCUUGAAAUACCACCCUUUAAUGUUUGAUGUUCUAACGUUGACCCGUAAUCCGGGUUGCGGACAGUGUCUGGUGGGUAGUUUGACUGGGGCGGUCUCCUCCUAAAGAGUAACGGAGGAGCACGAAGGUUGGCUAAUCCUGGUCGGACAUCAGGAGGUUAGUGCAAUGGCAUAAGCCAGCUUGACUGCGAGCGUGACGGCGCGAGCAGGUGCGAAAGCAGGUCAUAGUGAUCCGGUGGUUCUGAAUGGAAGGGCCAUCGCUCAACGGAUAAAAGGUACUCCGGGGAUAACAGGCUGAUACCGCCCAAGAGUUCAUAUCGACGGCGGUGUUUGGCACCUCGAUGUCGGCUCAUCACAUCCUGGGGCUGAAGUAGGUCCCAAGGGUAUGGCUGUUCGCCAUUUAAAGUGGUACGCGAGCUGGGUUUAGAACGUCGUGAGACAGUUCGGUCCCUAUCUGCCGUGGGCGCUGGAGAACUGAGGGGGGCUGCUCCUAGUACGAGAGGACCGGAGUGGACGCAUCACUGGUGUUCGGGUUGUCAUGCCAAUGGCACUGCCCGGUAGCUAAAUGCGGAAGAGAUAAGUGCUGAAAGCAUCUAAGCACGAAACUUGCCCCGAGAUGAGUUCUCCCUGACUCCUUGA
rnacentral:rRNA from 1 species